rnacentral:rRNA from 1 species
UCCAGACUCCUACGGGAGGCAGCAGUGGGGAAUAUUGCACAAUGGGGGGAACCCUGAUGCAGCGACGCCGCGUGGGUGAAGGAGCACCUCGGUGCGUAAAGCCCUAUCGGCAGGGAAGAAAAGCGAACAGGUUCGCCUGGACGGUACCUGACUAAGAAGCCCCGGCUAACUACGUGCCAGCAGCCGCGGUAAUACGUAGGGGGCAAGCGUUAUCCGGAUUUACUGGGUGUAAAGGGAGCGUAGACGGCAGCGCAAGUCAGAUGUGAAAGCCCGGGGCUCAACCCCGGGACUGCAUUUGAAACUGUCAGGCUGGAGUGCAGGAGAGGUAAGUGGAAUUCCUAGUGUAGCGGUGAAAUGCGUAGAUAUUAGGAGGAACAUCAGUGGCGAAGGCGACUAUCUGGCACAUAACUGACGCUGAGGAGCGAAAGCGUGGGUAGCAAACAGGAUUAGAUACCCGGGUA